GAUGAACGCUGGCGGCGUGCCUAAUACAUGCAAGUCGAACGCACAGCGAAAGGUGCUUGCACCUUUCAAGUGAGUGGCGAACGGGUGAGUAACACGUGGACAACCUGCCUCAAGGCUGGGGAUAACAUUUGGAAACAGAUGCUAAUACCGAAUAAAACUCAGUGUCGCAUGACACAAAGUUAAAAGGCGCUUUGGCGUCACCUAGAGAUGGAUCCGCGGUGCAUUAGUUAGUUGGUGGGGUAAAGGCCUACCAAGACAAUGAUGCCUAGCCGAGUUGAGAGACGGAUCGGCCACAUUGGGAAUGAGACACGGCGCAAACUCCUACGGGAGGCUGCAGUAGGGAAUCUUCCACAAUGGGCGAAAGUCUGAUGGAGCGACGCCGCGUGUGUGAGGAAGGCUUUCGGGUCGUAAAGCACUGUUGUAUGGGAAGAACAGCUAGAAUAGGGAAUGAUUUUAGUUUGACGGUACCAUACCAGAAAGGGACGGCUAAAUACGUGCCAGCCGCCGCGGUAA
rnacentral:rRNA from 1 species